rnacentral:rRNA from 1 species
UACGUAGGGGGCAAGCGUUGUCCGGAAUCAUUGGGCGUAAAGAGCGCGUAGGCGGCCCAGUAAGUCCGCUCUGAAAGUCAGGGGCUCAACCCCUGGAUGCGGGUGGAUACUGCUGGGCUAGAGUCCGGAAGAGGUGAGUGGAAUUCCUGGUGUAGCGGUGAAAUGCGCAGAUAUCAGGAGGAACACCAAUGGCGAAGGCAGCUCACUGGGACGGUAUUGACGCUGAGACGCGAAAGCGUGGGGAGCAAACAGG